UGUAGUCUCGCACAGAUGCAUAUCAAUAAGCGGAGGAAAAGAAACUAACAAGGAUUCCCCUAGUAACGGCGAGUGAAGCGGGAAGAGCUCAAAUUUGAAAUCUUAAAGGGUUUCCCUUUACGAAUUGUAGUUUAAAGAAGUGUUUUCUGUUGAGGUUUUGGUAAAAGUUCUUUGGAAUAGGACAUCAUAGAGGGUGAGAAUCCCGUAUUUGACCUUUACUUUCAACUUUGUGAUACACUUUCAAAGAGUCGGAUUGUUUGGGAAUGCAGUCCAAAAUGGGUGGUAAAUUUCAUCUAAAGCUAAAUAUUGGCGAGAGACCGAUAGCGAACAAGUACCGUGAGGGAAAGAUGAAAAGAACUUUGAAAAGAGAGUUAAACAGUACGUGAAAUUGUCAAAAGGGAAGCGUUUGACACCAGUGUUGUUUUUCUGAAAAUCAAUUAAAGAACUGUUUAUGCUAAGCUGUUUAGACUUUAUCAGCUAAUCUGUUUAGUUUUGAGCUUUUCUUUAAUGCACUUUUCAGUUAACAAGUCAACAUCAAUUUCUUUUGCUGUAAAAAAGCUUGAGGAAGGUGGCUUGAGAUUCGUCUUAAGUGUUUAUAGCCUCUUGCCUAUGCAGUCGGAGAGAUUGAGGUCUGCAGCGUAGAUCCUUCGGGGCUAAAUGCAUUUGUGCUAAGUUAUAGCAUUUUAUAGACAACUUGUUGACUAUGAUUUGUCUUGUAGCUUACUCGCUUAUGUUAUUUUACCUACGCUUAGGAUGUUGAAGACUCUACAGAGAUA
rnacentral:rRNA from 1 species